rnacentral:tRNA from 6 species
UGCGGGAUCGUCUAAUGGUAGGACAGCAGGUUCUGGACCUGCUUAUCUAGGUUCGAAUCCUAGUCCCGCAG